AAAUAAAAUUCUUUAUGGUUUAAUAAUUUAUUAUAAAUUUAUUUUACAUAUAAAUUUUAGUGUUAAAUAUUAAUUAUUUAAAUAAUAAUUAUUUAUUUUGUAGUAAUUAAUAUUAAAAUAUUUAAGAAAUUAAGAUUUAGUAAUAUUUAAAUUAAUAACAAAUUUUGUGCCAGCAGUUGCGGUUAAACAAAAAUUAAAUUAAAUUUUAUUAGUAAUUAAUUAAUAAAUAUUUUUAUAAUAAAAAUUUUAAAUUAUUAGGUGAAAUUUUAAUUUAAUUAAAUUUUAUAUUUAAAUUUAUGAUUUAAUAAAUUUUAAAAAAAAACUAGGAUUAGAUACCCUAUUAUUAAAAUUUAAAUUUAUAAUACUAAAAUAGUAAUUAAUUAUUUAUUGAAACUUAAAUAAUUUGGCGGUAUUUUAGUUCAUUUAGAGGAAUCUGUUUAAUAAUUGAUAAUCCACGAAUAAAUUUACUUAAUUUAAUAUUUUGUAUAUCGUUGUUAAAAAAAUAUUUUUAAAAAAAAUUAAUAUUUAAAAAUUUUGAAUUAAUUUAAAUCAGAUCAAGAUGCAGAUUAUAAUUAAGAAUAUAAUGGAUUACAAUAAAUUUAUUUAUACCAAUAUUAAUUUGUAAUAAUUAAUUGAGGGUGGAUUUAAAUGUAAUUUUAUUUAAUUUAUUAAAAUGAUUAAAAAUUAAAAUAUGUACAUAUUGCCCGUCACUUUCAUAUAAUUAUAAUUUAAUUAUAAUAAAUUGAAAUAAGUCGUAACAAAGUAGAGGUACUGGAAAGUGUUUCUAGAAAGAA